rnacentral:rRNA from 1 species
GAUGAACGCUGGCGGCGUGCCUAGUACAUGCAAGUCGAGCGAACGGACGAGAAGCUUGCUUCUCUGAUGUUAGCGGCGGACGGGUGAGUAACACGUGGAUAACCUACCUAUAAGACUGGGAUAACUUCGGGAAACCGGAGCUAAUACCGGAUAAUAUUUUGAACCGCAUGGUUCAAAAGUGAAAGACGGUCUUGCUGUCACUUAUAGAUGGAUCCGCGCUGCAUUAGCUAGUUGGUAAGGUAACGGCUUACCAAGGCAACGAUGCAUAGCCGACCUGAGAGGGUGAUCGGCCACACUGGAACUGAGACACGGUCCAGACUCCUACGGGAGGCAGCAGUAGGGAAUCUUCCGCAAUGGGCGAAAGCCUGACGGAGCAACGCCGCGUGAGUGAUGAAGGUCUUCGGAUCGUAAAACUCUGUUAUUAGGGAAGAACAUAUGUGUAAGUAACUGUGCACAUCUUGACGGUACCUAAUCAGAAAGCCACGGCUAACUACGUGCCAGCAGCCGCGGUAAUACGUAGGUGGCAAGCGUUAUCCGGAAUUAUUGGGCGUAAAGCGCGCGUAGGCGGUUUUUUAAGUCUGAUGUGAAAGCCCACGGCUCAACCGUGGAGGGUCAUUGGAAACUGGAAAACUUGAGUGCAGAAGAGGAAAGUGGAAUUCCAUGUGUAGCGGUGAAAUGCGCAGAGAUAUGGAGGAACACCAGUGGCGAAGGCGACUUUCUGGUCUGUAACUGACGCUGAUGUGCGAAAGCGUGGGGAUCAAACAGGAUUAGAUACCCUGGUAGUCCACGCCGUAAACGAUGAGUGCUAAGUGUUAGGGGGUUUCCGCCCCUUAGUGCUGCAGCUAACGCAUUAAGCACUCCGCCUGGGGAGUACGACCGCAAGGUUGAAACUCAAAGGAAUUGACGGGGACCCGCACAAGCGGUGGAGCAUGUGGUUUAAUUCGAAGCAACGCGAAGAACCUUACCAAAUCUUGACAUCCUUUGACAACUCUAGAGAUAGAGCUUUCCCCUUCGGGGGACAAAGUGACAGGUGGUGCAUGGUUGUCAUCAGCUCGUGUCGUGAGAUGUUGGGUUAAGUCCCGCAACGAGCGCAACCCUUAAGCUUAGUUGCCAUCAUUAAGUUGGGCACUCUAAGUUGACUGCCGGUGACAAACCGGAGGAAGGUGGGGAUGACGUCAAAUCAUCAUGCCCCUUAUGAUUUGGGCUACACACGUGCUACAAUGGACAAUACAAAGGGCAGCGAAACCGCGAGGUCAAGCAAAUCCCAUAAAGUUGUUCUCAGUUCGGAUUGUAGUCUGCAACUCGACUAUAUGAAGCUGGAAUCGCUAGUAAUCGUAGAUCAGCAUGCUACGGUGAAUACGUUCCCGGGUCU